rnacentral:rRNA from 1 species
GAUGAACGCUGGCGGCGUGCCUAAUACAUGCAAGUCGAGCGAACAGACGAGGAGCUUGCUCCUCUGACGUUAGCGGCGGACGGGUGAGUAACACGUGGAUAACCGACCUAUAAGACUGGGAUAACUUCGGGAAACCGGAGCUAAUACCGGAUAAUAUAUUGAACCGCAGGGUUCAAUAGUGAAAGACGGUUUUGCUGUCACUUAUAGAUGGAUCCGCGCCGCAUUAGCUAGUUGGUAAGGUAACGGCUUACCAAGGCAACGAUGCGUAGCCGACCUGAGAGGGUGAUCGGCCACACUGGAACUGAGACACGGUCCAGACUCCUACGGGAGGCAGCAGUAGGGAAUCUUCCGCAAUGGGCGAAAGCCUGACGGAGCAACGCCGCGUGAGUGAUGAAGGUCUUCGGAUCGUAAAACUCUGUUAUUAGGGAAGAACAAAUGUGUAAGUAACUAUGCACGUCUUGACGGUACCUAAUCAGAAAGCCACGGCUAACUACGUG